rnacentral:lncRNA from 1 species
UUUUUUGUUUGUUUGUUUGUUUGUUUUUUCUUCAUGUAUUUCUGUAUAGAGUUUUGUCUCCUCCCUCAUCUCUUCUCGAAUUGUGAAACACAGGGAGUGUCUGUUUCCUUGCACACAGCACUGUUAAACCAGUCUGUUAAUGUGUCAGUAUGGGGUCCAGUGCACUGCCUCUCAUACUCUCUUUACCCAGAUCUACACUGACUGUGACUCCAGACACAGUAUUCACUGGAGAGAGAGUGAGUCUGAAGUGUGAGAUUGAGUCUCACAGAGACUGGACAUGAAGAAAAACAUGCAACCUUUCUUUGUUUGUUUGUCAAAAUGUUCAAUAAACUAUCAUAUAAAAAAGUGAUUUAUCCAAGUAUAAUCUCAUAAUUUUAGGCAUAACAGUUAAAUGUGCUACCCUUACAAACCAAAAAAAAAAAAAAAAAUUUAACUUCUUCUAUCAUGACCGCAAAUGUACAUGAUGAUUUAUCCAAGUAUAAUCUCAUAAUUUUAGGCAUAACAGUUAAAUGUGCUACCCUUCACCAAAAAAAAAUUAUAAUAAUUUAACUUGUUCUAUCAUGACCGCAAAUGUACAUGAUCUGACGAAAAUAUAUAGAAAACAUCACAUUAUGAAUUAACAGGUAUAGAAAUUUGAUGUCAUUAUGAAACCUAUAACCUAAACUAUAACAUGAAUAUCUUUAUUAUUUCUGUCUCAUAGUCUCGAGUUUCUUCUACUAUAAAACAGAGCUGGAUUGUGCAGAAAGAAAACAGUAUUCAAAAUAAAUUGAACAUGAAGACUGGAGUAAAUAAACUGUGGAAUAGGCUUCUUGGGCGCAGACUUCUCUGCUUCAGACAUUAUAUUAUUUUCAAUAAAUAAAGAUUGAAUAAAUGUCACUAGAACACACGGGUUUUUUAAGCACUGCUCUAUGCUAGUUUAAAAGGGAAAACGGCGGUCUGUGAUUGCGAGUCUCCAUUGACCAACCCACGGAAUGAUUUCAUUGGCCACAUUAGAGCCAAUCAGAGGCUUUGAAAUAUUAAUCCCGCCCAUCACCUCAUGCUUUACAUCUAUCAUCAGAUCCUGUUCCUUUGAUUGAUUUCCCGCAUUCUUUUUCGUAACGAGAUAAUGAGUGAAAUAUUGUGAAGAAGUUUUGGUUACCCAAGUAUGAUACAAGAACUAUUCUAUUUUAUUUUAGGGUUUAAUGAGAAUAAGAACAAUACCUAGUUCCACCGAUCUCUCUCUCAAUUAAAGAGCAGCGCUUAUUCCUCAAAACGUUGGAUAAUUUCAUUAAGUUUGAGCAAUAUGACCACCAACACUAAAAUCUAUAUAUAAACAAGCAACUUAAAAAAUCAUAUUAAACACAUUAUGAAUAAAAUAACUAUUCUAUAUUAAACUACAUUAUUCAGAAACUUGUUCUUUGUGUGAACUCGUGGGUGUCUCUUAAAAGAGGUUGUGUUUUCUCCAGGAGUGUCUUAACCUCCGAAUCCGUACAGAGCGCGUCCCUGUCGUUUCAGAGCAUAAACAACAUCAUGGCGGUGACGCUCUUUCUUUUCGCGGGUUCAGUGUAGCUCACAGCAUCGAGAAUAACGUUCUCCAGAAACACCUUCAGCACACCGCGCGUCUCCUCGUAGAUCAACCCGGAAAUACGCUUGACGAGCAAGACGACGAAUAGCGGGUUUAGUGAUUCCCCGGAUAUUAUCACCAGGAACCUUCCGGUGACGCUCAGCGCCUCCUUUUCAGAAUCCUUUACCGCACUUUCCUCUUCCUGACAUACUUAUGAUUAAUUUCACAAACACACAUAAAACUACUGAGGAGAACGGGUGUUUAUAGUUCGCUAACGGACCUAGGUGAAACCACAAUCAUGGGCGGUUCUACUAAACGUCACUCGUUACGUCAAAUCCGAG